rnacentral:rRNA from 1 species
CCUACGGGAGGCAGCAGUGAGGAAUAUUGGUCAAUGGGAGAGAUCCUGAACCAGCCAAGCCGCGUGAGGGAAGACGGCCCUAUGGGUUGUAAACCUCUUUUGUCGGAGAACAAAACCCGGGACGAGUCCCGGACUGCGUGUAUCCGAAGAAACAGCAUCGGCAAACUCCGUGCCAGCAGCAGCGGUAAUACGGAGGAUGCGAGGGUUAUCCGGUUUUAUUGGGUUUAAGGGGUGCGUAGGCGGUCUGUUAAGUCAGCGGUAAAAUUGCGGGGCUAAACCCCGUCGAGCCGUUGAAACUGGGAGACUUGAGUUGGCGAGAAGUAAGUGGAAUGCGCGGUGUAGCGGUGAAAUGCAUAGAUAUCGCGCAGAACUCCGAUUGCGAAGGCAGCGUACCGGCGCCAGACUGACGCUGAGGCACGAAAGCGUGGGGAUCGAACAGGAUUAGAUACCCUUGUAGUC